UUUUAGUUAGCUCAGUUGGUAGAGCGCUUCACUGCAAAUGGAGGGGUCGCUGGUUCGAUACCAGGAUCAGACG
rfam:Ixodes scapularis strain Wikel colony gcontig_1108378997156, whole genome shotgun sequence.